UAAACUCUUGGCUGUUUCUGGGUACUUUAACAAGUUGAUGAACUUGCAGCCAGGUGCCCGGGGCUGGGAUCCAACGUGGGCGGUUGAUGCCGGUGCUGUGUUCCUUUACCACAGGAGCAGGGCCACCCCUGGCUUGCACAGUUCUAAGGACAGUGAGGACUCCAGCUCCCUACCAUGUCCAGUGGCUGAGCUCAGUGCCACCAGCACAGAGCUGUUAGUAUUGUGAUAGGCAUUUUUAUGGAGACCAGGCCACAGCCUGGUGCCAUGGAGAGCCAGCCAAAACCUCCCAUUUCUUACCCAACACUUUCUGCGAUGGGGACACCAUUAAUGCAUUGCUUGAGUAUCCAAAUGAGCAGAGGGUGACCAUAGGGAUGGCACUUCUUCUGAUUUGACCUUGAAAAGGUUUCCUUUUGCCACUUAAAGAAACUGAAACUUGCAGCUCAGAGACAGAGCUGCAGGUGGUUCCUGUGUGCCCAGACAGGCAUUUUCAUUCUGUUGCAUCCUGGAAUUGGGUUUUAGGGGUUCUUAUUUGUGUUAGCUAGCCCAGUCCUGUGUACCCCUGUGCUUUCUCCAUGUCAUUCCCCCCCCUGCAGUUUCUGGCCCCAUGCUGCCUGCCUUUGGGCAUUCCCUCUGCUGCUCCUGUAGCCACUGGCCCCGGGAAACCCCAUGCCUGCCGCCCCAUCGCCACGAUCCCACUCAGCCCGAGGCUCGGUGCCCACCCCUGCGGGGUUCUCUGGUUGGUCGCUGUCCUCCGUCAUCACUGGGGGGCGGCGUCUGCCCUCCCUAUCACAUCCCCUGCAUCAUCCCGCUCCCGGGUCCCGCCGCCAUUUUCCCCACGUGGAGUGGGAAGCGCGGGUCGCUCCCCCCCCACUGCAGCUCUCAGCGACAAUAAAGCCUUCCUGCUCUC